rnacentral:rRNA from 1 species
UACGGAGGGUGCGAGCGUUGUCCGGAAUCACUGGGCGUAAAGGGCGCGUAGGCGGCUCGGUAAGUGGGGGGUGAAAUCCUGCGGCUUAACCGCAGGGCUGCCUUCUAAACUGUCGAGCUCGAGCACGGUAGAGGCAGAUGGAAUUCCCGGUGUAGCGGUGGAAUGCGUAGAGAUCGGGAAGAACAUCAGUGGCGAAGGCGGUCUGCUGGGCCGUUGCUGACGCUGAGGCGCGACAGCGUGGGGAGCAAACAGG